rnacentral:rRNA from 1 species
CAGUAGCCGCGGUAAUACGUAGGUGGCAAGCGUUGUCCGGAAUUAUUGGGCGUAAAGCGCACGUAGGCGGCUUGGUAAGUUAGAGGUGAAAGCCCAGGGCUCAACCCUGGAAUUGCCUUUAAGACUGCCGAGCUAGUAGGUGAGAGAGGUGAGUGGAAUUCCGAGUGUAGAGGUGAAAUUCGUAGAUAUUCGGAAGAACACCAGUGGCGAAGGCGGCUCACUGGCUCAUUCUAGACGCUGAGGUGCGAAAGCGUGGGGAGCAAACAGGAUUAGAUACCCCAGUAGUCCCUGUCUCUUAUAC